rnacentral:rRNA from 1 species
CCUACGGGUGGCAGCAGUGGGGAAUAUUGCACAAUGGGGGAAACGCUGAUGCAGCGAAGCCGCGUGAGGGAAGAAGUAUCUCGGUACGUAAAGCUCUAUCAGCAGGGAAGAAAAUGACGGUACCUGAAGAAGAAGCCCCGUCUAACUACGUGCCAGAAGCCGCGGUAAUACGUAGGGGGCAAGCGUUAUCCGGAUUUACUGGGUGUAAAGGGGGUGCAGGCGGGGAUUCAAGCCAGGAGUGAAAGCUCGGGGCCCAACCCCGGGACUGCUCUUGAAACUGCGUGGCUAGAGUGCAGGAGGGGCAGGCGGAAUGCCUGGUGUAGCGGUGAAAUGCGUAGAUAUCACGAAGAACACCGAUGGCGAAGGCAGCCUGCUGGACUGCAACUGACGUUGAGGCCCGAAAGCGUGGGGAGCGAACAGGAUUAGAUACCCCAGUAGUC